rnacentral:rRNA from 1 species
CAGUAGCCGCGGUAAUACGUAGGGUGCAAGCGUUGUCCGGAAUUAUUGGGCGUAAAGAGCUCGUAGGCGGUUUGUCGCGUCUGCUGUGAAAUCUGGGGGCUCAACCCCCAGCCUGCAGUGGGUACGGGCAGACUAGAGUGCGGUAGGGGAGAUUGGAAUUCCUGGUGUAGCGGUGGAAUGCGCAGAUAUCAGGAGGAACACCGAUGGCGAAGGCAGAUCUCUGGGCCGUAACUGACGCUGAGGAGCGAAAGCAUGGGGAGCGAACAGGAUUAGAUACCCCAGUAGUCCCUGUCUCUUAUAC